rnacentral:rRNA from 1 species
GAAAGGUCGAAAGGGGAGAUUCAGCGUGUCUCUGUCGGGGCGCUGGACGGUCGUGCGACGGCCGGCGCACGCGCCGGCCGCACCUUCCGUCCUCCGAACUCCGUCGGAACGCGUGCACUUCUCCCCCUGUAGGACGUCGCGAUCCGUUGGGUGCCGGCCUAAGGCCCGCGGUGGAGCCCGUCCGGACGACGCAAGUCGUCCCGGACGAACCCGCGGUGUUUCCCGGUCGGCUCGCUCGACGGUAUGCAGAAGGCGCGGGGCCGCCCACACAAACAACGGGCGUCCGACCCGCGGCAAGCGCGCUCGUCGCGACGGUGAUCGGACCAGGUGCCGGUCCCGUCCCCGGGCGGCUGUUCGCUGCGGUGUUCUCGGACAGACCUCGAAAUUUUGAAACGCCGAUCUGCGACGCUAUAGCUUUGGGUACUUUCAGGACCCGUCUUGAAACACGGACCAAGGAGUCUAGCAUGUGCGCGAGUCAUUGGGAGACGACUAAACCUAAAGGCGCAAUGAAAGUGAAGGUCCGCCUCGGCGCGGACCGAGGGAGGACGGGCGUGUCCGGUCCGCAAGGUCGGCCGCCCCGCACUCCCGGGGCGUCUCGUUCUCAUCGCGAGAAGAGGCGCACCAAGAGCGUACACGCUGGGACCCGAAAGAUGGUGAACUAUGCCUGGUCAGGACGAAGUCAGGGGAAACCCUGAUGGAGGUCCGUAGCGAUUCUGACGUGCAAAUCGAUCGUCGGAACUGGGUAUAGGGGCGAAAGACUAAUCGAACCAUCUAGUAGCUGGUUCCCUCCGAAGUUUCCCUCAGGAUAGCUGGCGCUCGUCGCCUACGAGUUUCAUCCGGUAAAGCGAAUGAUUAGAGGCAUUGGGGUCGAAACGGCCUCAACCUAUUCUCAAACUUUAAAUGGGUGAGAUCUCCGGCUUGCUCGAACAAGCCUGAAGCCGCGAGACUCGAAUCAGAGUGCCAAGUGGGCCAUUUUUGGUAAGCAGAACUGGCGCUGUGGGAUGAACCAAACGCCGAGUUAAAGCGCCCAAAUCGACGCUCAUGGGAUACCAUGAAAGGCGUUGGUAACUUAAGACAUCAGGACGGUGGCCAUGGAA